rnacentral:rRNA from 1 species
AGCGAACGCUGGCGGCAGGCCUAACACAUGCAAGUCGAACGAAGUCUUCGGACUUAGUGGCGGACGGGUGAGUAACACGUGGGAACGUGCCUUUAGGUUCGGAAUAACUCAGGGAAACUCGUGCUAAUACCGAAUGUGCCCUUCGGGGGAAAGAUUUAUCGCCUUUAGAGCGGCCCGCGUCUGAUUAGCUAGUUGGUGAGGUAAUGGCUCACCAAGGCUACGAUCAGUAGCUGGUCUGAGAGGAUGAUCAGCCACAUUGGGACUGAGACACGGCCCAAACUCCUACGGGAGGCAGCAGUGGGGAAUCUUGCGCAAUGGGCGAAAGCUUGACGCAGCCAUGCCGCGUGUAUGAUGAAGGUCUUAGGAUUGUAAAAUACUUUCACCGGUGAAGAUAAUGACUGUAGCCGGAGAAGAAGCCCCGGCUAACUUCGUGCCAGCCGCCGCAGUAACAC